CCCCUUUUAAAAGCACUCAGUGGGCCUUUGCUAGUGACCAGCUGAGCUGUCAAGAAGGGGCAGAGCAAAAACGUCACUUUUGGGUGAAGUGGCCAUGUGUGUUUGCUGCAGUCAGUGCUCUGACAAGA